UACAGAGGGUGCAAGCGUUGUUCGGAAUUAUUGGGCGUAAAGCGCGUGUAGGCGGCUUGGUAAGUCAGAUGUGAAAUCCCCUCGGCUUAACCGAGGAAGUGCGUCUGAAACUGUCGAGCUUGAGUACCGGAGAGGAUGGCGGAAUUCUGCAAGUAGAGGUGAAAUUCGUAGAUAUGCAGAGGAACACCGGUGGCGAAGGCGGCCAUCUGGACGGUAACUGACGCUGAGACGCGAAAGCGUGGGAGCAAACAGG
rnacentral:rRNA from 1 species